GGACUUAACCCUGCUCUCACACCAGCUCAGUCCCACUCCUUCCACUUCCACCUGCACCCUGGGGAAGGCAGAGUCCAGGCAAACCCGGCUGGCAUAAAUCAGCAAGCUUCCAUCCUGGCGAGUGGGGCAAUGUUGAUUUACCCAGGGCGGCAGGGGAAGGAUUGUCAGCGCUGAUCCCCGUCCCUCCACCCCCGAACACUCAGCCUCCUCCUUCGUGAGCCUGCCUCCACCUGGGCUUUAUUGUGACCGUGCCUGGCACUGGGCCACUAAGCUCUUUGAGACUCCCUCUGCCAAGGGGGCUUUUCCGUGGCUUUUUUCUCAAUGAGAGAUCCUUGAGCUUUGCUCCUUGGCAAGAGGAGGGGGACGCGUGGGAGCACGUCGGGGGGAGUGAACGAGUUCAAAAAAGAAUAAAGGGCUCCGUGGUGGCUGGGAGAGGUGGGCGGAAGCACUGUCACCAGGACUGGCCCCGCAGAUACAAUGAGGGCGCAGUGGCCCAGCUGGAUGAGAUGCCUCCGAGCGGCUCUGUGGCUCUGCUGCCUGCUGCCCGAGGUGAGCUGCACCUGGAACCUGGCUGGACUCCAAUACACCAACCGAAGGAACUGGUGCUCGUACACAGUCACCCGGACAGUGUCCUGCCACGUCCAGAAUGGCACCUUCCUCCAGAGGGUGUUCCAGACCUGCCGCUGGCCCGUGG